UACGAGGGGUGCAAGCGUUGCUCGGAAUUAUUGGGCGUAAGGGGUAGGUAGGUGGUCUCAUUUGUCAGGGGUGAAAUCCUUGGGCUUAACCCAAGAAGUGCCCUUGAAACGGUGAGACUGGAGUCUUGGAGAGGGUCGCGGAAUUCCCGGUGUAGCGGUGAAAUGCGUAGAGAUCGGGAGGAACACCGGUGGCGAAGGCGGCAUCCUGGACCGGUAUUGACGCUGAGGCGCGAAAGCCAGGGGAGCAAACGGG
rnacentral:rRNA from 1 species